GAGGUGUUUCAAGGAGGACUGCGUAAGUUGGGGUCAGCGAAAUGGGAACAGGGUACCCAAUAACAGGCAACGUGUGGAACAACCGGAAAUCAAAAUGUCGAAUAUUCUCGAGGUAACUAUAGUUUAUAUGAAAACAGCCACUGUCUAGGAAAGCAAGAAGUAAUAAACCGUCAUCCAUUCGUCUCAUCGGCCAAUCAUCGCCAGAUAUUGCAUCCAACCAGAGUCUUCCAUCCAACAAUGCUUCGAGAUGGUAAUUCGUCAACGCGAAUACAAAGCUUAAUCCAACGCGUUCAAAGUUCUGCGCAUCUUGCAGGUCCAAGAGAAUAAAAUACUUUCCAAUGAUUCAAAGAUCAAGGGGGGAAUCCCCAUUUCCCAAAAUUUCAAUUUAGGGAUCAGUAAAUUUCAACUACAAAAAGUAUGCGUACAUGCAAGGACAUGUACUUUUCUCCGUCAAAAGUUUUAUAUACAAAUGCAUAGAGAUUAUAUUGAAAUUGUGGUAAAUAAAUACACCUAUACGGA